GACUCCUCAUGUUCCUCCCAGCACUGGGGACAGAUUAAGGAUCCCCAGAUCCCAGCAGGAAUAGUUUGCCUUGGAUACAGUGUGUGCUGAAAUAUGCUCUCGUGAUGAGACCAGCAGGGAUCCAUGGGAGUGGGAAUUCUGUAGCAGCCACAACUUGUCCUAGCCCUGGCAGGACCUGGAGCUGCAGCUACAACCCGUGCAGUGGGCCCUCCACCUGCAGUUCUGUGGACCAUGUCUGGGAGAUGCCCUGUGCCAGAGCCCCGCAGUGCCCACACUGCACCCUCAAAGAGAGCCAGGUCCAGCUUAAUCUGCCUGCAGGAACAAAGCGUGGAGAGAAAAAGGACUUUGCAGGAAGCCGUCUGCUAACAUCAGAUGUGUCCGAAGAACACUGCGCAGAGAAUGGCUGUUACAGCAUUCAGCCCCUCAGCACCCAGUGCCACAGGGACACCUCCUCGUGCUCCCCAGAGCCAAUAGCUCUGGGGGAAGAAGCAGGAAGGAGGGGGCACUGGUGAGUCCAACAUGUCUGAAGAUGCUCAACUGGAUGCUGUGGCUGCAUGUCCCUCUUUGGGGUUAGAAGAAACUUGAGAGUCUGGGGGAGACAGCACUCUUUUGGCCAUAGACCUGUGAGCAUGAGCUCCCCCAGAAGUUGUGCUGACUCCUGUUCUGCCCACCAGCAGCAGCCACAGCUUUGAGUGCCCCUCUAAUACAUUUAUUACCAUCUAUAUCUAUUCUGUACCUUUGCAGAAGACAAAAGUCUGAGUGACACAACCCAGGGGGCUGCCGAGAGAGGAGACAGGAACAGGCACAGGAGGCCUUAGAGCUCAAAGCCCUGUUAGGCUGAAACUAAGAAGAGAGUGGUGGUGGGGAGCGUGCUCACUUUCUCUGUAUUUUGCUCUCGGGAUUGUGUGAAAAACCUGUGUUGGUGCAUUGCUCAGGAGAGCAGGGAGGGGUAAAUCCAGACAGGGGGGUGGCUGUAGUGCAGCUGUGCUUUGGCUGCUGGAAUGGUCUGAUGAUGUGCUGGGAACACUUAGCUUGAGGGGACUGACUACAAUCCAGCCUCAGCUGUCCUCAGUGCUGGCCCUGACAUUCCCCUGGAGGUGGCCCAGCAGGCUGGGGGAGCUUUGCUAAUCUUUGAGAGCAAAACCUGCUCCCCACUGAGAGCUUCUGCUGAGCACAAGCAGCAACAGUGCUACAUCUGGCAGGGAUCUUCUGGUUGGAAAAUC
rnacentral:lncRNA from 1 species